AGAGUACUGAAAAUGGAUUUACAUACAAAGUACAUAAACGCAGUAAAAUGUGUUUUAGUAAAUAAUUACAAAAAGACAUAGAAAUAUACAUUUUGCCUAAAAAUAAAAGAUUGUCUUAAAUUACAUAAAAUAAAACAAAAGGUUUAAACAAAUUGUGGAAAAACUAUAAAAAUUAAUCUUACCAAAAAACUGUGUAAACACAUUGACUAAAUUCAAAAAGAUAUUAAAUGGAUUUUUCUGUAAAUUAAACAUUGAAAUAAAAACACAACAAAAUACUCUUAAAACACUAAUCUACUCUUUAACUAAAUUUGUAAAAAAUUAUAAAAGUUUUGUAAAAAUCUCACCUCAUAGUCAAACUGGUUAAGAUUAAGUAAAAUUAUCCAUAAAAUUUCAUUAAAAAUUGGGAUUAACCUUAAUAAUAGACUAGUACAAAAAUAAAAUUAACUUUCUCUCUUGAACAGGAUUCUCAUGUAAUAAUAAAGACUAACAAAAGAUUUUUGCUUUUUCAAAUAUUUGAGUCAUUUUAACAAAAUAAGUAACUUAUAAUAAUCUAAAAUUCUAUUUUAUAAUAUCAAAUGUUUUAAAACUCUAACAUAUUCAACAAACUUCCCAAAAUCAAACUUCAGUUUCAAGACUGUCUUUCCUAACCUCUAACUUUUAGGGCACCUAGAACAUCAAAAGAAAUAUAAACAAGAUAUUUAACAUAUUUAAGUAGGUGGGAUUGCAAAAAUGAUAUUUAAUCUUCUUCAGAUUAUAUUUCGAUCAAUAAUAUUAAUAUAUGUUCCAAAAUUGUAUAAAAUAUCUAAGAUUCUAGUGUAUGAAUAUAUGCUAUCAAUUAUAAUUAAGGUUAUUAUAAUACAAUAUUAUAAAUCAGAAAUAACCAAAUUUCUUUGUCCAAAACCAUGAGAUAUGUCUAGGAUUCUAGUGUCUUAACUGUGACCACCCUAAACAUUUUACAAACAGUUGUCUUGUUUUAAUCCUCUUCAAAACAUAAUUUAUAAUCAACUAUAAGACUUUAACAAAUUCUCUCAAAUACAGGUUUCUAAUAACAGGAAAACAUAUGGAACUCAUAAAAAACUUAAAACAUUUACAAAUAUCAAACAGAACAAAAGUUAACAAAAUAAACCGAACUAAUAAAAAACUGAAACAAUGUUUUUAACUUUUACUUAGAACGUUAAAACAACUAAGCAAAACAUACUCUUAUAAACAAAAUUUAGAACAUAUUUAUUUCUCUUUGCCUCGUUCCUCUAGAAUUCAGAAACUAAUUAUGAAUACUCUUAACUUACAACAAUAUACUUAUUUACAUCAAUACAACAAAUCCAUUUUAUUUUACAACAGGACACAAUUUUUAAAACUGGUUAUUUUACAAGACUUUGACUGGAAAGAUAUAUUUCCCUUUAAAAAAUCAAACUGGAUUCACAAAACCAAUAAAAGCCCUUUAAAAAACUGGCCUCAUACGUUGUCUACACAGUCCCCAUACAGGGUUCCUAACCUGUGGUAAUAAAAAAGAUGUCACUUUCUAACAGGCGCAAGAACCCCAUGUUCUUGGGACCUCAAGAAGAAAAGUGUUUACCCAACUCAUAAAUAUUGAAAGAUACAAACCCAAGACUAGACUCAACUUUAAAAGGUCUUAUCUAAAAUUCCUCGUGUAACAAAAUUCCAUCAAAGCCAAUUUUGAUUUUAAAAGUCUAUAUAAAGAUAAUUAUUCUGUGCUGGGUGUGGUGGCUCAUGCCUGUAAUCCUAGCAUUUUGGGAGGCCAAGGCGGGCGGAUUGCCUGAGCUCAGGAGUUCGAGACCAGCCUGGGUAACACGGUGAAACCCCACCUCUAUUAAAAUACGAAAAAUUAGCCGGGUGUGGCAGCGUGCGCCUGUAGUCCCAAAUACUCGGAAGGCUGAGGAAGGAGAAUUGCUUGAACUUGGGAGGCAGAGGUUUCAGUGAGCUGAAAUCGCGCCACUCCACUCCAGCCUGGACAACAGAGAGAUAUUCCAUGUCCAAAAAAAAAAGUAUAUGUGUGUGUGUGUGUGUGUAUAAUUCUUACUACUCUUUAUACAAAUAAUAAAACCAAAUAUAAGACUAAAGUUUAUUUUACAAACAACUCAAUUCUAUACUAUCAUGAUUUAUUUUUAACAAAAAUGAGGACUAAAGAGAAAGAAAUUAUGUUUCAUAUUUUAUCAUACAUUUGUCAUUAAAUUCUAAUAGUUAUUUUUAAGUUUUUGCCUACAUUUUAAACUAACCCUACUUAUUCCUGUGAACCAACCAACGAUCUCCAACUAUAACUUAAAAAAACAAAAAA
rnacentral:lncRNA from 1 species